CUCCGCGGCAUGUGGGAUCUUCUCGGACCAGGGCACGAACCCGUAUCCCUUGCAUCGGCAGGCGGACUCUCAACCACUGCGCCACCAGGGAAGGUCUCCCCCGACUUUUUAAAGGCCUGAAGUGGGUUCUGUCCUCUCAGGCCGAGAGUUUCCUAGUCUGGGGGCUCUUCUCGCAGAACUCACCCACGCAGACUCCCCUCAGCCGCUGUUGGAAAAGGAGACUGAGGUGCAGUAAAAGGAAGUGAUUUUCGAAGGACACACUGGUCAUGAGAGUUGAUCUCUUAUUUCUGGAUAUUUGGCACUCAAGGACAGUGGAAGCAUGAACUUAUCAAACCAUACUGACCAAAAGUUCUGGCCCUGGAAUCUUCCCAUUGACUAACCAUUUAAUCAUCCAUCCAUUCAUUCAAUAAAGGAACUGAAGGUCUGUGAGGUGAAGAAAACUGCCCAAAGAUUUACAAUUGUCCCAUUCCGUCUCACCCAGGACCCCACAAGCUUCCAUGUCAUCUGCUCCUGACAUCCAAGCAUCAACAUCAUCAUGGCUCAACGAUCCAGGACCACCUGAAGCCAAUGAUUCUCCUUCUGAUGUAUCAUCAGAAGGUCAACAGGAGCAUAACACUACGUCAGGAUGCCUAUAUCAUUCACCUCACUUCAUCUUAUCAUGUAGACAUUUUAUCAUCUCACAUCAUCACAGGAAGAAGAAGGGUGAAUAAGACUAUAUAACAAUUUGAUAGAUAUGAAGACUGAGGCUGAGAG